UUUCCAGCUGGGAGAUCUCCUCGUCAGUUUAAUGUAUGUUCCCCGUACAAGUGAACUGACCAUCGGCAUUAUCAAGGCCCGGAAACUCAAAGCUAAAGACAUCACAGGAGCGUCCGAUCCUUAUGUGAAAAUUUGGCUAAUGCGAGGAGACAAGCGAGUAGAGAAGCAGAAGACGGAAAUCCACAAAGCAACCCUACACCCAGUUUUCAAUGAAGCCUUUACCUUCAUCGUCACGUGGGAGCAUAUUAGGGACACAUCCAUGAAUGUUACAGUCAUGGAUUGGGAUAAUGUGGGCAGAAAUGAAGCCAUCGGGGGCAUCGUACUCGGAUCGAAAUCCGGACCUACAGAAGCCAAGCACUGGGGGGAGAUGCUGACCAAGCCAAGAACCGCUAUUGUCCAAUGGCACAAACUGAAACCCCUUUGAAGGGAAUCAAGUCAGCUGCACCCUCUCUGCUGUCUCUCUCUCUGUCUCUGUUGGUGUGUCAACAAUCCCUAUAAAAAUAUAUAUAAUUAAAAAAAAGCGCGGGAAAAUAAACAUGCAACGACCGAACCCGGUGCUUUUGUAUGGCUGUUAAAACAUCGAACUGCGUCGAAAAUUUUUCCUCGCGCAACGAAUGACACAGGAUGUUGACUGUUUCAGAUAAAAUGUUUAUGUGUACUUUCUUGACCCCCCCCCCACUUUAGCCCUUGUAUGUCGUUCGUCGUCAUUUUCAUCAUCGCCAACGCACAAAGCGGGCCGUUUGCAGCCGAGGAACGAUUCGCUUCCGCUUAUAAAUAACUAAAAGAGGAAGUUGAAAAAUAUUUGGGGCCAAAUGCUUUUUUCACUGUCUUCUUUCCCCCACCCUUUCUGCAUUUUUUUCCACGCUGCUGCACCCCCUUGCGCUGCUUUUGCCAACGUGCAGGUAACAUAACAGCAUGUGACCUUUUUUUGCAUUCGGCUCGACAUUGUGUUACCAAAAACGAACAACGAACGGGUCGUGGAGGGGGACAUGCCUGAUGAGAGGGUUCGUUUCCUGCAGUUAAAAGACUGCAUUUUUGAGCUAGGCUUUAGGUUUUUGAAGCACUUCCCGAUGCAAAGGCUUUGAGUUGAUUUGCCUCUUAUUCGUGUUAAACAUAUCUCAUUAUUUCAAUGUCAAUUAAAAAAUUAUAUUCCAUUUUAUUGGUUGCCCAAUAAUUAGUGAAUAAAAAAUGGAGAAUCACAAUCCAAACAAGUAAACGAAGGUUUUUUGGUGAUUCCCUCAUAAUAAAAUUCGUGUUAUGAAAUCAUUAGAUAACCUUGUCUUCUUGAUGAGUUAGGAAAUUUGAUAUAUUCAACCAGAAAGUUCAAAUUUCCUCUUAGAUUGCCACACUCUCUAAUAAAGGAUCACGAGUUUAACUUGAAAAAAAACCUAUAGCAAAACUUAUAGGGCAUUAUUUUGUUACCAAAUUUGAUCGCGCUGUCUUGCCGAGAAAUUUUGCAAAACUUCAGAAUGCUAGAACAUUGAAAACCUUAAAAUAACAGAACACAGACUCGGAACAUCAAAAUAAUUAGAAUAACGGAAUGUUCAUAUUUCAGACUCGGAACACCAAAAUAAAUAGAAUAACGGAAUAUUUAUAUUUCAGACUCGGAACAUCAAAAUAAUUAGAAUAACGGAAUGUUUAUAGUUCAGACUCGGAACAUCAAAAUAAUUAGAAUAACGGAGUGUUUAUAUUUCAGACUCGGAACAUCAAAAUAAUUAGAAUAACGGAAUGUUUAUAUUUCUGACUCAGAACAUCUAAUAAUCAGAAUAAUGGAACACACAUAUUUCAGGCUCAGAACAAUUAGAAUAGCGGAAUGUUUAAAUUUCAAACUCGAAACAUCAAAAUAAUUAGAAUAACGGAAAACCAAUUUUCAAUGUAAAAGUUCGACAUAAAAUAACUUUUGCAUAGGUUGGCUUCUAGUAUCAUUGCCAAUUCAAUCUCUGCUGUAUUUGCAAUUUAUUCACGAGAUGGUAACAAAGAGCUCUUUUCAAGGAAGGAUAAAUCAUAGCUCAUGAGAAAAUUUCUUUUGCCCAUGAAAUAGAGGACAUCCCAUCUCGUUGUCUUAGCUUCGCAUCAAUGUCUUCCAUUUCAUUGUUUCUCUGCGUGUUUCGAUGUGUUGUAGCUUUGCGCGUCCGCUUGUAAAUUUCAGUGGCGGAGGUCCCUUUGCGGGCGUUCCUCGGCAGCGCGCUACUCCCUAAAACGACCUCCUCCAAAAGAUCUUUUUCAAUGCGUUUGAAUGUGUGUGCUUUUUGUGCAACUCUAUUGUCAUCUCAUAGAAUGGAUGUGUAAAAAUAACUGACACUUUUUGUACUGAUUAUAAAAUUAGUGAUAAUUAUUACGUCAAAGUCAGAAACUGUAGUUUUGAUCGCCUAAUACAUUGCAUAUAUUAUACACUUACAAAAGCCAACAUAAUUUUUUUUUUAUUUUAGUAUCGUUUUAGUUAAAGCACCGCAAUGGAAUUUUUGAUACAAUUUACAACUUCCGGUAAAACAUUCAGCUGUCGAAUACACUUUUUUCGAGUACUGAAAAUUUAUUGAAAUUGUAAUGAAAAUUUAGUAUUGAAAUUGUAAUGAAAAUUUAUUCGGGUGAAAUAGUUUACAAUUAAACUCGAAAACUGAAAAAGAAAUAUUGAAAUCAAAAUAUUAUUCGGUAUAUUAAUUAAAAGGAAAUUACAUUUAAUGAAUACUCAUAAAUUGAUUGGCGAUAAAUAAAACAGUAUAGCUUUUUGAACCAUACCAGUAAAACUUCGUAACUUAGAUAGUAUCCCAAUAUUUACUCAAAGGUAAAAAUAAUCAAUAUUGGUUGUAUUACUAAGUCUGUGAUCCAAUAUACCUUACAGUUUGUUAUUUAUCUUUUAAGUAGUUUAACCAAUCAUUUUUAAGUAAAAGUAUCGGUAUUUGUAACAAACCGCAGUCGAAACUUAGAAUUUUCAUAUCAAGUAUUUCUAAAUUAUUCUAAGCAUAGAAUCACAGCUAACUAAAAUCACGCUCAAAUUUUGUAUCUCUUACUUUAAAAUAUCUAAAAAUUAUAGAGUACAAAAUAUUUCAACUAUUGCAAAAUGCAUUGUUUAUUCAAAUAAUAAUAAUUUUUUUUAAUAAUAUCGAGUAAAAUAUAUUUUUACUGCAUUACCUCACACAAGUCUGCCUUUCCAAAAUUUUUAGCAUUUUUAAAAUUAAAACAAACUACACGCAUGGCUAUUAAAUGUGCAAUAAAGUCGUAUAGCUAUGCAUAUGCUUGAAUGCUUUUUAUCAUCAGUCAUGUGCAGCAGUGCACAUACCCAACUGCCAUUUGUGGGUUUUUUUUCUAAGAAAAAACCAAAACAAUGCAUCCUGUGUUUUUAGUCUACAGUGGAAAUUCAAGCAUAGACUCAUUUUCUGAACAAAUGACGUCAUCGAAAUAGAUAACUAUGUAAUAGCAUAUUGUAAAUAGCUUUCGAUGUAUUUAGGAGAAAGGAAAAAAAAGAUGAAAAUAAUUGUAUUACUUCACCACAACGUAAGGAGGAGGACGUGUGAUAGGAAGGUCCGCAGGUAGCUGUACAUAGAGGAUACUCAAUGUAUGUGUCCUUUCCUGUAGAUAGUAGAACAUAUGGGACCUAGGCCCGUCAUUUGACAUGUAGGCCUAGGAACUGGGUCCCAUUUACCUAAAUCCCUAAGAGUACAUAAUAUGUUUGUAUGAUGGAAUUCAAUGAAAUAUCUAUUUAUGUAUCUGGCUAAAAGUGUAAAUAAAAUACUAAAAGGAA